rnacentral:rRNA from 1 species
AACGAACGCUGGCGGCAUGCCUAACACAUGCAAGUCGAACGAGAUCUUCGGGUCUAGUGGCGCACGGGUGCGUAAAGCGUGGGAAUCUGCCCUUUGGUUCGGAAUAACAGUUGGAAACGACUGCUAAUACCGGAUGAUGACGAAAGUCCAAAGAUUUAUCGCCAGAGGAUGAGCCCGCGUAGGAUUAGCUAGUUGGUGUGGUAAAGGCGCACCAAGGAGACGAUCCUUAGCUGGUCUGAGAGGAUGAUCAGCCACACUGGAACUGCGACACGGCCCAGUGUGCUACGGGAGGCAGAUGUGGGGAUUAUUGGACAAUGGGCGAAAGCAUGAUCCAGCAAUGCCGCGUGAGUGAUGAAGGUCUUAGGGUUGUAAAGCUCUUUUACCCGGGAUGAUAAUGACAGAUCCGGGAGAAUAAGCUCCGGCUAACUACGUGCCAGCCGCCGCCGUAA